GACGAACGCUGGCGGCGUGCUUAACACAUGCAAGUCGAACGGAAAGGCCCUGCUUUUGUUGGGUGCUCGAGUGGCGAACGGGUGAGUAACACGUGAGUAACCUGCCCUUGACUUUGGGAUAACUUCAGGAAACUGGGGCUAAUACCGGAUAGGAGCUCCUGCUGCAUGGUGGGGGUUGGAAAGUUUCGGCGGUUGUGGAUGGACUCGCGGCUUAUCAGCUUGUUGGUGGGGUAGUGGCUUACCAAGGUUUUGACGGGUAGCAGGCCUGAGAGGGUGACCGGCCACAUUGGGACUGAGAUACGGCCCAGACUCCUACGGGAGGCAACAGUGGGGAAUAUUGCACAAUGGGCGGAAGCCUGAUGCAACAACGCCGCGUUCGGGAUAACGGCCUACGAGUUGUAAACCGCUUUCUCCUGUAACGAAGCGUGAGUGACGGUAAUGAAUAAAGAAGCACCGGCUAACUACGUG
rnacentral:rRNA from 1 species